GACGAACGCUGGCGGCGUGCUUAACACAUGCAAGUCGAGCGGUAAGGCCUUUCGGGGUACACGAGCGGCGAACGGGUGAGUAACACGUGGGUGACCUGCCCCUUACUCUGGGAUAAGCCUGGGAAACUGGGUCUAAUACCGGAUAUGACCUCUUGUUGCAUGACAGGUGGUGGAAAGUUUUUUCGGUGGGGGAUGGGCCCGCGGCCUAUCAGCUUGUUGGUGGGGUGAUGGCCUACCAAGGCGACGACGGGUAGCCGGCCUGAGAGGGCGACCGGCCACACUGGGACUGAGACACGGCCCAGACUCCUACGGGAGGCAGCAGUGGGGAAUAUUGCGCAAUGGGCGGAAGCCUGACGCAGCGACGCCGCGU
rnacentral:rRNA from 1 species